UACGUAGGGUGCGAGCGUUAAUCGGAAUUACUGGGCGUAAAGCGUGCGCAGGCGGUUUUGUAAGCCGGAUGUGAAAUCCCCGGGCUUAACCUGGGAAUGGCAUUCGGGACUGCAAGGCUGGAGUGCGGCAGAGGAGACUGGAAUUCCUGGUGUAGCAGUGAAAUGCGUAGAUAUCAGGAGGAACACCGAUGGCGAAGGCAGGGCUCUGGGCUGACACUGACGCUCAUGCACGAAAGCGCGGGGAGCAAACAGG
rnacentral:rRNA from 1 species